rnacentral:misc_RNA from 1 species
CUUGAAAUGCAGGUGCAGCUGGACAUUCUUCUGAGCUAAAAGCAUAUUUAUUUAGUCCCGUGAAACGGAUUAUUACUUUUGCUUCAGCUAACAUAAAGGUCGAAUGAACAAACCAAGGCUGAUUGCAGGAAAACUCGUCUUGUUCACGCAAGACUUGUAAACUCGAUCUCAAAUCAAGCAAGACUACCCGCUGAACUUAA